GGUGGAGUGACCGAGUAGUCCAAGACUGGUUUAAGGCACUAGUCCGAAAGGGUGUGGGUUCGAAUCCUACCUCCAUCA
rnacentral:tRNA from 1 species